CUGAAACGGAUCUCUUUUGCUUCACAAUUUACAAUGCUGGCCAGUUUCCAUGUAAUCGAUACACACACUACAUGACUACCUCCACCAGCAUUGAUCUUAAUCUUGAUAGGAAAGAAAUGGUCAUCCUUGGCACACAGUAUGCCGGGGAGAUGAAGAAGGUUUGUUCGGUGUGAUGCACUAUCUAAUGCCUAAAAGAAACAUUCUCUCCCUGCACUCUAGCAACAAUAUGGGCAAAGAUGGUGAUGUUGCCCUCUUCUUUGGACUAUCAGUACUGUUAUCCAGGUAUAUGGCUAACAAAUUUGACAAGGGCAAGGUAUGAAGUGAGGGAGAAGACAUGCACGAGGAAGAAGAAGAAGAGGCGAAGAGGGUUGAAGGGAAUGGAGAGUAUGGACUCGGAUUCAAAGUGAAGGGGAAUAAGAAGGGACAAUUUCGUUUGUUUUUUUCUCCCUUUUUUCUUUGAUGUAGU